rnacentral:rRNA from 1 species
GACGAACGCUGGCGGCGUGCUUAACACAUGCAAGUCGAACGGUGAAGCGCCUUCCUUUUUGGUGGGUGUGGAUGAGUGGCGAACGGGUGAGUAACACGUGAGUAACCUGCCCCCUUCUUCUGGAUAACCGCAUGAAAGUGUGGCUAAUACGGGAUAUUCUGGGUCUGUCGCAUGAUGGGUCUGGGAAAGAUAUUGUUUCGGUGGGGGAUGGGCUCGCGGCCUAUCAGCUUGUUGGUGGGGUGAUGGCCUACCAAGGCGGUGACGGGUAGCCGGCCUGAGAGGGUGGACGGUCACACUGGGACUGAGACACGGCCCAGACUCCUACGGGAGGCAGCAGUGGGGAAUAUGGCACAAUGGGCGCAAGCCUGAUGCAGCGACGCCGCGUGAGGGAUGGAGGCCUUCGGGUUGUGAACCUCUUUCGCCAGUGAAGCAGGCCUGCCUCGUUUGUGGGUGGGUUGACGGUAGCUGGAUAAGAAGCGCCGGCUAACUACGUG